rnacentral:rRNA from 1 species
UGGGGAAUCUUCCGCAAUGGACGAAAGUCUGACGGAGCAACGCCGCGUGAGUGAUGACGGCCUUCGGGUUGUAAAGCUCUGUUAAUCGGGACGAAAGGCCUUCUUGCGAAUAGUUAGAAGGAUUGACGGUACCGGAAUAGAAAGCCACGGCUAACUACGUGCCAGCAGCCGCGGUAAUACGUAGGUGGCAAGCGUUGUCCGGAAUUAUUGGGCGUAAAGCGCGCGCAGGCGGAUUGGUCAGUCUGUCUUAAAAGUUCGGGGCUUAACCCCGUGAUGGGAUGGAAACUGCCAAUCUAGAGUAUCGGAGAGGAAAGUGGAAUUCCUAGUGUAGCGGUGAAAUGCGUAGAUAUUAGGAAGAACACCAGUGGCGAAGGCGACUUUCUGGACGAAAACUGACGCUGAGGCGCGAAAGCCAGGGGAGCGAACGGGAUUAGAUACCCCGGUAGUCCUGGCCGUAAACGAUGGUACUAGGUGUAGGAGGUAUCGACCCCUUCUGUGCCGGAGUUAACGCAAUAAGUACCCCGCCUGGGGAGUACGACCGCAAGGUUG